UUGGAGGAAUGUAUAGCGAAAGCUACUUGCAUUUAGCUUAGUUAAAGCUAAGUUUAUGCAGGAUUGACUAUGUCGAAUAAAGUUCUAGGUGGGUUAUGAUGAUGACAUUUCCUAUCUAUGUGUCUUGACCAAAUUACGUGCCAGCAGUCGCGGUAACACGUAAUAGACUAGUGUUAUUCAUCUUUAAUAGGUUUAAAGGGUACCUAGACGGUAAAUCAAGUCCAAGAAGGGUACUAAUUUGCUAGAGUUUAAUGUGAGGGGGCACUAAAGUACUGAUAAGUGUAGAGAUGAAAUUCUGUGAUACAAUAUACGGCACUGGCAAAGGCGAAAGCAUCUCAUUAUGUAAUAACUGACGUUGAGGGACGAAGGCUAGGUGUAGCAAAAAGGAUUAGAUACCCAAGUAGUCUUAGCAGAAAAUUAUGAAUGUCAUAGGAUGGAAAGUUGGAUGGAUAAACAACAAAACUUUUUUCUAUAAAUGAAAGUGUAAGCAUUCCACCUCGAGAGUAAUUUGGCAACAUUGGAACUGAAAUCAUUAGACCGUUUCUGAAACAAGUAGUGAAGUAUGUUGUUUAAUUUGAUGGUCCGCAAAAAACCUUACCACAAUUUGAAUAGAAAUUUUUGUUUCAUACAAGCGCUGCACGGUUGUCUUCAGUUAAUGUCGUGAGAUCUUGGUUAGUUCCAUUAAAUUAACCGUAAAUCCCUUAGCUUUAUUUUGAUAUAGAGUAGUUCACCGCUAGAUUGGAUGUGAUAACAGGGACUAAGACAAGUCAUCAUGGCCUUAAUAUUGUGGG
rnacentral:rRNA from 1 species